AUUGAACGCUGGCGGAAUGCUUUACACAUGCAAGUCGAACGGCAGCACGGGGGCAACCCUGGUGGCGAGUGGCGAACGGGUGAGUAAUACAUCGGAACGUGCCCAGUCGUGGGGGAUAACGUAGCGAAAGUUACGCUAAUACCGCAUACGAUCUACGGAUGAAAGCGGGGGACCGUAAGGCCUCGCGCGAUUGGAGCGGCCGAUGUCAGAUUAGGUAGUUGGUGAGGUAAAGGCUCACCAAGCCGACGAUCUGUAGCUGGUCUGAGAGGACGACCAGCCCCACUGGGAAUGAGACACGGCCCAGACUCCUACGGGAGGCAGCAGUGGGGAAUUUUGGACAAUGGGCGCAAGCCUGAUCCAGCCAUUCCGCGUGCAGGACGAAGGCCUUCGGGUUGUAAACUGCUUUUGUACGGAACGAAAAGGCUCUGGUUAAUACCUGGGGCUCAUGACGGUACCGUAAGAAUAAGCACCGGCUAACUACGUGCCAGCAGCCGCAGUAA
rnacentral:rRNA from 1 species